CGCGGGGUGGAGCAGUCCGGUAGCUCGUCGGGCUCAUAACCCGAAGGUCGUCAGUUCAAAUCUGGCCCCCGCAA
rnacentral:tRNA from 1 species